UACAUAGAAUGCAAGCGUUAUCCGGAAUGAUUGGGCGUAAAGCGCUCGUAGGCGGCAUGCUAAGUCGGAUGUGAAAUCCCAGGGCUUAACCUUGGAACUGCAUUCGAUACUGGCAAGCUAGAGUGUGUGAGAGGAAAGUGGAAUUCCAGGUGUAGCGGUGAAAUGCGUAGAUAUCUGGAGGAACAUCAGUGGCGAAGGCGACUUUCUGGCACAACACUGACGCUGAGGAGCGAAAGCGUGGGGAGCAAACAGG
rnacentral:rRNA from 1 species